rnacentral:lncRNA from 1 species
CUCUCACCCGACCCUUAGUUGUUUUUAUAUAAACCCUUUCUCCUCCUCUCUCAAUCACCUUCAAUCUCUCUCUUUCUCUCCCUCUGGAUCCCCAAUCUCAUCCCCAAUAUUUUGUUUGUUGAUUCUCAUCUUCUCUUUUGUCUUUUCAACAACUCGUCAUUUAAAGGCUUCCAAGAACAGUAACCUUAAUUCCUCCAGAAGAGAGAGAAAGCAAAGAUCCCUUCAAUUCCAUUUUCGUACAUGCAAAUCACAAUCCAUGCUUUAGAUUGCUUCUAUUCCUCCUUAUUUAUUGCUUACGAUCUGUUUAUGCAUGUCCAGGUGGAGAGAGCAUUACUUAAAAAUAGAAUUAGACACAUCUGUUUUAGGCAGUUAGUUUCCAUACAUGACACAAGUAUACAUCAUGACGCAUAUAGAUAGAUGCUAUAUAUAUAUAUAUAUAUAUAUAUUGUAUAUGUAUGCCUGGCUCCCUGUAUGCCAUACAAUGAGCUCAUCGAGUAUCGAUGACCUUCGUGGAUGGCGUAUGAGGAGCCAUGCAUAUCCUCACAUACAUAUAUAUAUAUACAUUUCUCUCUAAAUAUCUUAUGGUAACUAAGUAGAUUUUCUCUAAUUGUCUUAUUUUUUUUGUAGAAGUUCUUGAUAGUUGAUCCAAUCAUGUGUAGAAGAUUAUAAGGUAACUCACACGAAACCAUACGGUCCAUACACAUAUGCUUUCAGCUUUCUUCUCGUGGUUUCCCAUAUAUUUCAUUGUUAGAUAUUUUGGUGACCCUCUGAUUCCGUUCCAGUCCUUCGAUUCGUAUUUUUUGCAGUACAAAUGUUUGUCAUGUCACAGCACUUUUUACGAGGAUUCCUUCUGUGUUCACAUCAGUGUACUCCUUUGUUUUUUUUAUAAAGGAUUAAUUAUAUCGAUAGCUAAUUAUUACAUUCCCGUACGGUUCAGAUUCUUUUGUAUCGUUUCAAUCAUAUCGAUUUUAUAAAUCUAUUUGUAUAUGUAUAUCAUUGUGACCUACCUUAUAACUUAGUUGUAUUUAUUAAAUUGUGGUUUUAUCACACAAUUGUCUACACAUGCACGAAGUUGCAUCACACAUUUUUGACUUUGUUUCGUGAGGUAUUGCAAUGAUUACAUCUGGUUUAUUGAUCUCACAUUGAAAAUGCCACAUAUUAUAGUUUCGUAAUAAAACUCCUUACUAAUUACUUAAUUAUAUAGGUAGAAGUUAUAUAAAGUUAAGAAGCUGUGAGAUUUGUUUACAAUUAGACUAGCUAAAUUUGUG